UAUAAUCAUUGCAGUUUAGACAGGUCCCAGGUUUAUCUCCUUUAUAGACUCUCCAUUCCAGUCUUGAGGCCAUUCUGAGGAAUAAAUGGAGUUGGAGCUAUGAUGGGCAUCAUUUGAAGGGUCCUCAAAGACCAUCUUCUCUUGACCACAACAAGGAAAACACCGCAAGGACCACCAGAAAUACACAGUGACGCACAGUUCCCAUCCCUGAAGUGUAGUGCCGAGCGUGUAGACAGCUGGAACUACUGAGACUUGGAAUUUCAUCAAUAAAGAUACUUUCAGCCAGGAAAGGGCAGCUCAUCUUGAUGAACAUGCAAUGGGGGAAUGGUGGUUCCCAAAGGAAAACUUUCACCGGAAGAAGCUGGGAAAGAGACUGGACAGGCAAAAAGUUGCUCGUAGUUUAUUGGACAAAAAAAUGAAGAGAUUUUUCUCGUUAUUUCUUCUCUGUCAGAAGCAGUCAAAGAAGAAGGACAGAUCUGAGGAAGUUUGGAAACUUUAGCUAUAUUUUUCAAAAACUCUGUUUAAGGAACAAAAUUAGGGUAAACUGCAAGCUCUUAGAGAUUCAGAUUUCUGCACAUAUUAUGAGAAAGAAAUCAGUUUUGAAAAUUAUCGAUGCAUUUCUAAAAUCAAUGAAUUUCAACAGCUUAUAUGGAUGCAUCAUGAUUUAAAAUAUCAGUUGAUGUCCUGCAAAACAACUUCAUAUACAAAUGUAUCAGUUGGGUCUGCUGGGAAGCAGAAACUGAGAUGAUGUUAAGAGUGCAGGAGGCUUAUUGAGAAGUAACAUCUGUGAAAGGAAAAAGAAGGAAGCUGGACUGGGCAGAGACGCCAUCAUACCACAAUACAGAUCUGCCAACAACUCAGCCAUUGCAAUGGGGAGCUCCAGAGCAAAGAUUGCCCAUUAGAGGAGUUCUGCCUUGGGUGGAAAUUGCCAGUCUUUUGUUCCACUAUCUUGCUGAGUCAUUGAUUGGGGCCACCUCAAGCAGAGUAAGACCUUGGCCUAAAAGCUGAAGGAGACUUGAAGGAGUUAACUGCUAGAUGCUGUCAGCUAACUGCACAGUCCUUAAAGAUAGGCAAGGAGU